rnacentral:rRNA from 1 species
AGAGUUUGAUCAUGGCUCAGAACGAACGUUGGCGGCGUGCUUAACACAUGCAAGUCGAACGAGAAAGUUUUCUUCGGAGAACGAGUAAAGUGGCGCACGGGUGAGUAACGCGUAAGUAAUCUACCCUUGCAUUCGGGAUAACUACGGGAAGCUGUAGCUAAUACCGGAUACGUUCAUAGAGUUACGACUCUAUGAAGAAAGAUGACCUCUUCUUGAAAGUUAUCGUGCAGGGAGGAGCUUGCGUACCAUUAGCUAGUUGGUAGGGUAAAGGCCUACCAAGGCAACGAUGGUUAGCGGGUCUGAGAGGAUGAUCCGCCACACUGGAACUGAAACACGGACCAGACUCCUACGGGAGGCAGCAGUGAGGAAUAUUGCGCAAUGGGGGAACCCCUGACGCAGCGACGCCGCGUGGAUGAUGAAGGCCUUCGGGUCGUAAAAUCCUGUCAGGUGGGAAGAAAUGCAUGAGGGAACAAUACCCCUUGUGUUUGACGGUACCACCAAAGGAAGCACCGGCUAACUCCGUGCCAGCAGCCGCGGUAAUACGGAGGGUGCAAACGUUGUUCGGAAUUACUGGGCGUAAAGCGCGCGUAGGCGGUUUGUUAAGUCAGAUGUGAAAGUCCACAGCUCAACUGUGGAAGUGCAUUUGAAAC